rnacentral:ribozyme from 1 species
AAAGAAAAAGAAAAAGAAAAAGAAAAAGAAAAAAGAAAGAACAAAUUCUUGCUCCAGGGGUGGGGAUUUUGGAAGCAUUUGUUGUUGUUUUUUCUCGAAUUUGUAAAAAAGAGAGGGAGUUUGCGACAGGGGGAAGGUUUGUGAGAGUGGUUGUGUUUAAGA